CCCUGAAUGUGGUCCCCAUGGAGGAGUCCUAGGACAGCAUCCCCAAAGACUGAGUCGGAGUGGUGACCACAGGCUGGAGGUUCAUGGUUGGGAAAACAAAUAAGGAGCUGCUUUGGUGAAAUUACCGUGUUUGGUAAAAUAUGGUGUUCUGCUGAUUUGACCAAUCCUGUAAAUCAUAGCCAGAUAUUAGUUCAUCUCUCCCAAAUAUUACAGAGUAAACAUGUGUCAAACACAGAACCUUCCUCGAGGCUCCAGAGCAGCUGGACGCAGUGUCUGCUGGGAGUCCUUGUUCAGGUAAAUGAAUCACACAGCCUUAGUAUAGGGAAUCCCUGAGAGUUAUAGAGGAUGGCAAUCUGGUCCCUGUAUUAUUAGGUUCUUCUUCUACAGCUGGUGAAAUCUCCUGUCCUGAUUCAUUUUUGGGUAUAAGUUGAGAUCCUGGCUCGUAAUGUUUUGUAGCCUUGUGGAAAGGAUCACACACAAAAUACAAGACACCGGCUGUGAUGACUGAGCAUGUGUGAAACACACAAAGAGCACUUGCUGAUCCUGUUCAACCUGGUAAGGGAAUUCACGGCUCAAUGAUGGGAGCACUCAGGCUUCACAUGUAGGUCACCAAAGCAAGGAAGCCAGGCUGUCCCAGACUUGAUGUAGGAAGAGUACAUGUCCAUCCAUCUCAACCCCAGGGACCGACUGAGAUCAGAAGUGCCUGCAAGAGUGAAUCUAC
rnacentral:lncRNA from 1 species